CUUCGUUUUUUUGUAUCCGCUUGUAAAAACUGGACCACAUUUAUUCAUUUAAUAAAGUACGACAAUAUUAUGGCGUUAAUUGAUAGAACUCACCUGCCGUUUACCCUCAAUUAGACAAACGUAACUGUUAGCUUAGUAGUUCAUAAACGCCAUUGUUGUAGCUCCCGCCUACAUGUUAAUGUGAUUGGCCGAAGCGGAUUUAGACUGACCUUUUGUCCAAUCAGAUUAAAAGUUCCUGCUUAAUGCAACGCAGCAGGGGGAUUUAACCUCAUUGUUUGCUUCUCAACAUGUUACAGAUGAGUGAAAUUUAGGUCUUUGAAGAGUCCCUGCAUGACGCCGCACUUCCCUGCGCCAUCUCCCACUUCCUGUGUGGACACGGCAUCUUUAAAGGCAGAAGGGCUGCUGGGAAAGUCGUCAGUGGAGAAAAAAAGAGGAGGAGCAGGAGCGUAGUGCUGGCUCCAAAUGCGCCGCUACAAAGGCGUCCAUUCAUUUGGGGGAGCCGUAAAGUGACGCUAAAAGAGGAUGACGGGCUGCUUCACCGCCAUGACUGAUGAUGGCGCGUGUGAGGAAAAACGUGAGCGUCGUGAUCCGCUCUCUCGUGGGCCGGAUCCGUGGGAGGGUGAGAGGUGUGGGAGGCGACGUGGAGAUUCUCACACACACCGUGUCACACACUUCUCAAAUCCUGCACGGAAAAAGGAGCCAACAUUGCAGCGGAAAUAAAUGCAUCAAAAGACGGCGUAGGAGUCACGUGAUCCACCUCCCAGCCAAUCGUGUAUAGAGAAACAAGAUGUAACAUCACCUGAAGUUGAAGGAAAAUGGCGACCGCAGACGGCAACGACCAUGCCAAAAGAUAAUUGGGAGGAAGACACAGCCCACGUCGGCGAUGACGACAUAAUGGUUGAUGGUUGUCUCGCUGGGAUUUAUGAGGCGGCUCCUUCCCAGGCCCGUUUCUAAAGAACACAAUCAAAUCACUGAGCUCCUAUACGUAUGUAUACACGGCUAAAGGACUAUGUCUCCAUGGCGAUGGAAUCAUUAAAUGUUCAUUCAUUCAUUCAUUUUCUACCGCUUUUUCCUCACGAGGGUCGCGGGGGUGCUGGAGCCUAUCCCAGCUGUCUUCGGGCGUAAGGCAGGGUACACCCUAGACUGGUCGCCAGCCAAUCACAGGGCACAUAUAGACAAACAACCAUUCACACUCACAUUCAUACCUAUGGACAAUUUGGAGUCGCUAAUUAACCUAGCAUGUUUUUGGAAUGUGGGAGGAAACCGGAGUACCCGGAGAAAACCCACGCAUGCACGGGGAGAACAUGCAAACUCCACACAGAGAUGGCCGAGGGUGGAAUCGAACCCUGGUCCUCCUAGCUGUGAGGUCUGCGCGCUAACCACUCAUUAAAUGUUAAAUUAAAUUAAAUUAAAUCGUCCUUAUUGUAACUGAAAUAGACAACUC